rnacentral:misc_RNA from 1 species
GUACCCUCAAGCUUUGCUUGGUGUUGGGCGUCUUGUCUCUAGCUUUGCUGGAGACUCGCCUUAAAGUAAUUGGCAGCCGGCCUACUGGUUUCGGAGCGCAGCACAAGUCGCACUCUCUAUCAGCAAAGGUCUAGCAUCCAUUAAGACGAUUUAAC